rnacentral:lncRNA from 1 species
GGAACGGUCAAUUAAAAAUCCAGCAGCAAUCGUAGACGCAGUAACUUUAGAACUUGAGGUCUCACUCCAUCCGAUUGAGAAGAUGAAUUAUAUUUGUCAUACCCAAACACUGUCCUUUUACUUUUAUUUAGGUCAUUUGUAAUAGAUGGAAUAGGCUCUAAGCUCAAGGAAGAUUUUUGCAAGUACACAUCUUUCUAGGCUUCUCUUACUGAUUUAUUCACCAUA